AUUUGAGUAGCUUAAGAAAAGCUUAAUAUUGAAGAUAUUAGGAUGGAAUUAUCCCUUAAAUA
rnacentral:tRNA from 2 species